CGUCUGCGCGCGCGCCCCGGCGGCUGCGGAGCGGCCGCGCGGCUGUCUAGGAAACGGCGGCCUCGGGUGGCCGGGCUGGCGGCGGGAGCCGGGCAGGGGGCGGGGGCUGGGGACUCGGCCAGCGCCAGGGCCAGAACGGAGCGCGCCGGCCUCGUGGCUUGGUUUCUAUCAAAGCAGAAGAAAUAGAGGUGAACUACAAAAAGUGAGAACCAGUUUCCUCUGUACUCUGCAAUCUAGGAGAAAAAACUCAUCCAAGGACAGAUCAGGUGCUGUUUUUCAACCCUAAACUUUUGACCAAGAAUGAAACUCUUUAAAAAUUAAGAUGCCAACAGAUCACGAAGAGCCCUGUGGUCCCAGUCACAGGUCAUUUUGCCUGAAUGGAGGGAUUUGUUAUGUGAUACCUACUAUUCCCAGCCCCUUUUGUAGAUGCAUCGAAAAUUACACAGGAGCUCGUUGUGAAGAGGUUUUUCUCCCAAGUUCCAGCAUCCAAACUGAAAGUGACCUGUUCACAACUUUUGCAGCAUUGGCUGUUCUUCUGGGGACUCUCAUCAUUGGAGUCCUCUACUUCCUUUGCAGGAAGGGCCACCUUCAGAGGGCCAGUUCAGUCCAGUAUGAUAUCAGCCUGGUAGAGACAAGCAGUACCAGUGCCCACCACAGUCAUGCAGAACAUUGAAGAAAUACCAUAGUGAACUCAAAAUCGUUGCUUCUUUGUUACAAAGGCAGAAAAUGAAGCACCAUACGAUACAGCAUUGCUUCUUCUUAGCGUCUGAGAUGGCUCACUGUCACAUCCACUUCUAGGCAACAGGAUCCAAAAAGGGCAGGAAAACAGUCACACCGUAUUCUAAUGGACCCAGUAUCGCUGCCCUAACAUUUCACUGACCAGGACAGUCAUACGUGCAAUGGAGACCAGGAAAUGCAGCUGUCUUUAGUGUGGUGUGCAGGUGACUAGCACCAUUUGAUUUUUCAAUCAAAGGCUUUCUAACUAUGUAAAAAGGAAAGAAUGGAUAUUGGGGGAAAAUGGGUAUUCUCUGCACUUAUUUUAUUUCAGUAUUUGCAUAUAUAGAAAUUUUUACUAGAAUUAUGCCAGCUCUUGCUGGCUGACAAAUACCAUUAUUCUGGGUUUGCUUUUCUGAAGGAUCAGUUUACAUCAUUCACUCACCCAAAGCAAUGACGUACAGAACUAUCUGAAUGAGUUUCCAAGGUCUGUUUUAUCGGUAUAAAACCAAAAUAAGAUGAUGUAAUUGGGU